AGUGAACGCUGGCGGUAGGCCUAACACAUGCCAGUCGAACGGCAGCACAGUAAGAGCUUGCUCUUACGGGUGGCGAGUGGCGGACGGGUGAGGGAUACAUCGGAAUCUACUUUUUCGUGGGGGAUAACGUAGGGAAACUUACGCUAAUACCGCAUACGACCUACGGGUGAAAGCAGGGGAUCUUCGGACCUUGCGCGAUUGAAUGAGCCGAUGUCGGAUUAGCUAGUUGGCGGGGUAAAGGCCCACCAAGGCGACGAUCCGUAGCUGGUCUGAGAGGAUGAUCAGCCACACUGGAACUGAGACACGGUCCAGACUCCUACGGGAGGCAGCAGUGGGGAAUAUUGGACAAUGGGCGCAAGCCUGAUCCAGCUAUACCGCGUGGGUGAAGAAGGCCUUCGGGUUGUAAAGCCCUUUUGUUGGGAAAGAAAAGCAGCAGGUUAAUACCCCGCUGUUCUGACGGUACCCAAAGAAUAAGCACCGGCUAACUUCGUG
rnacentral:rRNA from 1 species